CAUGAUGGUGUGAUGGUAAACGGUUGUCUUUUAUUGUCUUGUAUUCGUUUGAUAAUCUUGUCUUUAUGCGAAGUUGGCAAAAUAUUUAUUGGCAACAUUGAGGGCGAAUGCUUUGGCAUACUCCCCAUCUGUGAAUGUAGAUACUCAGCAGAACCCUCCCUCACCACCAAGACUGUCCAUUUUUGUUGAAAACUUCGGUACUCUUCAUAUUUUUUUCUUUGAGCGACCUUUGUCAAAAGCGUUUCCAUAAUUAUGUAGUUGUUCCAACACGAUCGGCGUACGACCCGGAGCCUGUGGACUACGGCAACCCCACUCGGACAAACUGUCUCUAUGUCAUUUGCGUUGCCUGCCGCCCCAAACUACGACAACUCCACUAGGACAAACCUUCUCUGCAUCAUUUGCCUUGCCCGCACAACAGAAAUCACAUGUACAGUAUGUCGUUAUGAGGGUUCCAUGAGCCAUUAUGCAACCACCAAAAGAGCCAGGUAUUGCUCGCAAGCCAUAGUUUCCUGACCCCUGCUGUGGGAGCAGUGGAUGAUAGAUGGAGAGUACAGCUUCAGGGUGAAUCCGCGAAGCAACUUUCCGGGAAGUCCUUGGAUGCCUCGACAAAGUAUGGGCUUCCGUGACAACCAAAAACCAUCCUGCCGGGAUUCAGAAAGGCUGGAAUAGGCUAGUUGUAACUGCAACUGACGAUGAGUCCGACGUAAGCGGCGUUGAAGAGGAAGCAGUGUGUCAUAUACCUCUGGAGUUGGCAGACUUGUUUCGAAGUGACACCGAGGAUGAAAAUUUUAUUGGAUUUUAGGUACUGGGUAUUUGGAGUGACACAGAUGGUUUUGGUAAACUUCUUAGUAUGUUAUUUAUGCAAUAGUUAUCAGAAUACCUCUAAAUAUAUGUUAACAUACUACAGUAGGCAUGUUCUCAGUUGUGUCAUGAAACGUAAGCAUACCGUUCAGCCUGUUGUUGCCUCUGUUCUAUUUUUAUUUUAAAUUGUUCGUCAUUUAAAUUUUAAAUGACAUGUCUUUUCUUGGUGUUGGAUUUUAUCAAAUAAAUUUCCCCCCAAAAUGCGACUUAUACUUCAGUGCGACUUAUAUAUGUUUUCUUCUUCUUUUUUAUGGAUUUUAUGUCUGGUGAGAUUUGUACUCCGGACCGACAUAUAAUCCGAAAAUACGGUACUCCUUUGAUCUUGGUUGUGGUUGGGAUUCAACAAGGAGAGAUAGCUUGUUGCUACUUGCUUGUUUGCUACCAGGCUUGUGAUGUAAAGACUUUGUUGUACUUUCUGCUAAGUCACAUUUGAAUGUCUGUAGUUCAAGUUUUUUGCAGUGUUCACAUUAAAAAACACUUACUAUAUUGUGCAUGUCUUGAAUAGCCAGGUGAAGAGAGGGGUGGAGCUGUGACCUGUUCACAACCUGGUGAUGAGUGGGCUCCGAUGGUGGGGAAGAUGCCGGUCUGACGUGGCAGGCCCAAACAUAUUGUGAGGGUUUGCUGGGAAUGGCUGUCAAAAUUCCCUGUCAGAAGGAGUUGCAACUCCCACCUCCGACAGUACUUUGCUCAUGUUCUGGGGGAGGCGAGUUGGAGUGAAUGAUUUUCCAAGAUUUUCUAUUGUUUUACUAAUACCAUAAUUAGCCCAUAUUGCAACUCUUUAAAUGGUCAUAAAUUUUGUUUGAGCUAUUGAGAUAAGUAAGACUUUAAGAGAUUUUCAAAGCUUUUUCUAAUCAUAGUUUUUUAAAUUCCAUCCAUUCAUUUUCUUAUUUCUUAUUAUCCUCACGAGAGUGGCAGAAGUGCUGGAGCCUAUCCCAGCUGUCAACGGGCAGGAUCCUGGUACACCCUGAACUAGAACAUGUGUAAUGAAAAAUUUGGUAUUUACAUUAAUAUAUUGACCUAUUUUGCAGGCAAAGCUACCUUGGAAAAUCCUCCAAAGAAAAGAUAUGUUCAUAUUGAGAGUGCUACAGUAACACAAGUGGUUAUUGUAUACACCCAACUUCCUUAAGGCAGAAUAAGACGGAUAUAGUAAAAAUGACCACUCCAAAAAACUUCCUGAAGUGGAGAAUUCAGAAAGUGAUGCCAGUCCUGUAAUUGCCCUGCAAGACCAUCAAAGCAGUGGAACAGGUGGUUCACCGUUACCAUGAAGAGCCCUAAGACAUUCAAAACCAAGACAUCUACCAUCAACCGCGAACCAUCCACCACCAAACAUGAGCCUCUCCCAUUCCUCCAAAGAGAGUUGGCCCAUGUAAGAAACAAGGUUAGAAAAAAAAGGGCUGGUCCUGCUUACUGAGAUAAGGGACACCGGCAGGCAUCAAGACUCUAGGGGAACACGAGAAGAGGACAUCAACAUUAUACAGAUAAAAUAUCUGCCCAACUUCAACAGAAGGUGAUGGAAGACCCUUCUGCUUCUGCAGAACUGAAAUUCCAAAUGCUGAAAGUUGGAUGGGUAACUCUCAAGGAAAAUAUCAAAUGGAUCCUGAAGAGAAUGUGUCUUGAGAAACCACGAGGGGACCAUGAGUGAUGUACGAAGUGCGGCCACGUCAUGCCUAAAAUAUACGCCUGACGGAUGCGGUAGCAGUGGCAGGAAACAGGACGGGAGGAACUAUGAUGGGCAGUAAAUAUGAGAGACACAUCGUUAAAGUUCACAUAGUGGAAUGUUAUAUUUGAUUAUGUUUGUAACAUAAUUAAACAAAAAGUUAUUUGUUCUAAAUGACACAAAAAAGUUUUGUUCUAAAUGUUAAACAUGCAUGUAUUACUAUGGGCUGAAUAACCUAAUUGUUUGGAAUUGUCUGUAGUUUGAUUGAAAAACAGUUUGUUUCACACUGCAUAAUAAAGGUUUAGAAUGUUUGUUUUAAUGGCUCAAUUUCCAUGUAGCAUGGCAAUAUUUCAAUGUACUAAGGCAACGUUGAUUGCAUAUGGGAUUGUCGCAUUAAUGCAAUUUACAAGCAAUGUUUCAGUUCUUU